AAGUGAUCUGCCUGUCUCAGCCUCCCAAAGUGCUGGGAUUACAGGCAUGAGCCACUGUGCCUGGCCUAGAGUGCAAAAUUCUUAGCAGGUGCAUAAUAUAAACAUACUGUAUGUACAUAGUAAACACUCUAAGUAGUCCCUAUUAAUAAUAUUCUGAAAUAACAAUUACUAAAUAUAAUGAUAAACAGUUAUUAACGCUAAGUAGGGAAUUUAAAGUAGCACAAAAGAGGUUUCUCCAACAAAGGGUGAAACACACCCAGACAUAGCUACAAAAAGAGAGAGAGAAAGAGACUCCUGUCUAAGCUUUGCCACCCAGCGAGUCAGAAAGGUGAAAACAUCUCUGUUCAAUCAAGUGACCCUCAGUGCCAGCCAGUUCUGACCCCAAGUGGCUCAUCAAGUCAGCUUUCAGGGCCUCAGUUUCAUAAACUGUAAAGUAGUUCUUGAUAGUUUUAUUAAAACUGAAGCCAAAGUACCUGCUGCAGUGAAUACAAAACAUAAACCAUUGCAUUACUGUGCGGCAGUAAAGAUGGAUGAUAAGCCUUGAGGACAGGAGGAGCCUUGGAAGAUGCCUAAAUAUGGAGCUGGGGGAGGAGGGGAAGUAGGAGAGGAGCUGCGGUCCGAGGCAGAGCCAUACCCUAUAUGGACAUGACAGAUAAUCUUCAGAAUGGGUCACGUGUGUCCAGGAGUGAGCCGCCUCGAGUUACAUCAUCAGCAUGUGAGUCUGAUGGGCUUGAUUUCAGCGAAUUUCUCCAAAAGAAAUUCUCCCUAGAAGGGCUUCUGGGUGAAAAAAGUGAGUCUUCCAUGGUAUUUCCCAAGUGGCUAACUGGCAAGAGUGGCCCAAGUACGUCUCUUCGUACGGAAGAGUUACAAGAGCGUCAUGGGUGACGACACUGAGUGGCCCUCCAGGCCGUUCUUCUCAGGCCUUGAAUCAGACAGAAUCAAUGAGCCUUCACCUCCAGAGCCUGCGGGGUCUCCAUAAUGUGAUGCUCUUGCCCUUUUUCUCUUUCUACCAUUUUCACAGAAAAGGAUCCCUCAGCAGGCCUCCAGGGUUCACACGCACAGACACAGGGAGGGAAGGGAGGCUUCCUGUUGCAAAAGCAACAGGGUUGGGCCUUUCUGCCCACUCUGGCAAAGAGACCAAGAUACACACAAGUGAGGGAUUAGGGGAAGAGACAUCCUAACCCAUUUCCUCCUCCGGAGAACUGAGGGCUGUCCAGUAGGAAAUCCUGGUUUCCUUUUGGACUCAGUUCUAACGGCCGUGCUAACAGACACCCAUUCUCCACCUGACGCCCUCCGCAGGCUCGCCCCGUGCCAUCCUACUGGCUGGAAAGACCAGGUCUUCACUCAGCCCCCAACUCACACGCCUUCCGGAAAGCCUUCCUUGAGCACCAGCGCUCCCCAGCCCCUGCCAGAUCAGAUGCCCCCUGCUGUGUUCCCACAAUACCUCUGUGCACAUUUGACACAGAAACUACCACUCCGCCGAAAUGGCUCGUCUUCUCAGUCGUAAAAUGGAAUGAGAUCUGCCCUGCCUUCUUCACUGGGAGCUCAUAAGGAUCAGGUGGAAAUGGUAACAAUACAGAAAUCAUUUCGGACUCCAGCUUGGCACCCACUCCCAAUACUCCUGAUGUCUCAUGAGAGGAACCUCACUGGACAUACGGUGUUGCAG